UACAGUCAAAUCCGUUUUACAGCUGCGAUACGGACAAGGGCCGGACCUAGGCUUCAGUGGCGGGAACGCAAUAAUGUCAGCAGAAUCAAAGCAGCUACGGGCCGGAUCCGGGGAACGAGCGCGCGAAUUUUCAUUUUCUGGAAUCUGACAGGAUCACCGCAGCUUGGGUCGAGACGCAGGAAAAGUUUGAGGAAACAGUUUUAUUCCGGUUCGACCACAUAUCCAAGGAGACAAUGAAAAGGAGGGAAUCUCCAUUAACAAGCUCUGGAGUCAGGCGGAGGGCUCGCAUUUCUUUAGAAAAACGACUGCAUGACAUUGCAGAAGACUGUCUGAUAGAAUCAGAGCAAACAACAGCUGACAGAGUUGACGCUCAGUUCACCACCAAUGACACCGAUAGCUGUAGUGACUCAAGUCUCUCUCCGAUAGAUGACCAUUUAGAUGCACUUUGCACAGAUGAUACUGGAGGAGAGGCAGAGAGACUAGAUGCUUUAGAUUCUGAUUCUGAGUCAGAGUCUCAGUUUGUUGAUAAGCCAGUCAGCCUUGUUGCAAGCUUAGCCAAUUGGUCUGUACAGUUUGGAGUUUCUUUAGUAGCACUCACAGCCCUCCUUAGUUUGUUGAGAGUGUACCACCCAGAACUGCCCAAGGAUGCUCGAACCAUCCUUCAAACAAACACUGAAUAUAAAAUCCAACAAAAAUGUGGUGGUUUGUAUCAUUAUAGAGGUAUCUUGACAGCACUGCAUGACACACUAACCCAGCUAAUUAAGAAUGUUGCAGAUGGCUUUACUUUUAGAUUACAGAUAAAUAUUGAUGGCUUGCCAUUGUUCAAGAGCACAAAUAUACAGUUAUGGCCCAUUUUAGGACUUUUGUUAAGUGUCCCGAUGAAGGAACCCAUUGUUAUUGGCCUUUUUUGUGGUACAAAAAAACCAAAUGCCCCUGAUGAAUUUUUAAGUGAUUUUACCCAUGAGCUAAAGCAGCUGCAGGAAGGAUUUAAUUUUAGAGGGAAAAAGGUCUUCAUUGAACUGGCUUCGGUUGUAUGUGAUAUACCUGCUAGGGCAUUUGUAAAAAACACAAAGGCUCACAAUGCAUAUCAUGGAUGUGACAAGUGUUGCCAGCCAGGUGUUUACGUUAACAACAG